AUUGAACGCUGGCGGCAGGCCUAACACAUGCAAGUCGAGCGGUAGCACAGAAGAGCUUGCUCUUUGGGUGACGAGCGGCGGACGGGUGAGUAAUGUCUGGGAAACUGCCUGAUGGAGGGGGAUAACUACUGGAAACGGUAGCUAAUACCGCAUAACCUCGCAAGAGCAAAGAGGGGGACCUUCGGGCCUCUCGCCAUCAGAUGUGCCCAGAUGGGAUCAGCUAGUAGGUGAGGUAAUGGCUCACCUAGGCGACGAUCCCUAGCUGGUCUGAGAGGAUGACCAGCCACACUGGAACUGAGACACGGUCCAGACUCCUACGGGAGGCAGCAGUGGGGAAUAUUACACAAUGGGCGCAAGCCUGAUGCAGCCAUGCCGCGUGUGUGAAGAAGGCCUUCGGGUUGUAAAGCACUUUCAGCGGGGAGGAAGGCGGUAAGGUUAAUAACCUUAUCGAUUGACGUUACCCGCAGAAGAAGCACCGGCUAACUCCGUGCCAGCCGCCGCAGUAAGAC
rnacentral:rRNA from 1 species